AACGAACGCUGGCGGCAGGCUUAACACAUGCAAGUCGAACGCCCGUAGCAAUACGGGAGUGGCAGACGGGUGAGUAACGCGUGGGAAUCUCCCCAAAGGUACGGAACAACUCAGGGAAACUUGAGCUAAUACCGUAUGUGCCCGAGAGGGCAAAGAUUUAUCGCCUUUGGAUGAGCCCGCGUUGGAUUAGCUAGUUGGUGGGGUAAUGGCCUACCAAGGCGACGAUCCAUAGCUGAUCUGAGAGGAUGAUCAGCCACACUGGGACUGAGACACGGCCCAGACUCCUACGGGAGGCAGCAGUGGGGAAUCUUGGACAAUGGGCGAAAGCCUGAUCCAGCCAUGCCGCGUGAGUGAAGAAGGCCUUAGGGUUGUAAAGCUCUUUUGCCCGGGAAGAUAAUGACGGUACCGGGAGAAUAAGCCCCGGCAAACUUCGUGCCAGCAGCCGCAGUAACAC
rnacentral:rRNA from 1 species